AUCUGCAUUGUGUAACUUUGAAUUUCCCCUAAUUUCACCUAAAAAAUUUAGGGUUUUUUCCUUCCUACGAGUAAUGUGAUGGUUAUGCUUUGUCUUCAUCUUUCUUCAAUCAGUGUUUGCUAAACAAAAUUACAAUUUUUGCCUUCUUUUUAGAAGUCAAUUCAGCGAUUGAUGGCAAUUCUAAAGAUGAAACUUGGCAAAGAAAAUCCUUGCAAGCAUCAUGUAUGGAAUUCUUUGUCAUUUUGGUUCGUUCUUUUGGGAAGGAGGUCAAUACGCAGGGGCGAUCUUCUUGGUUUUACUAAGGAAAGAUAUGGAUGAACAGUUGCAAUGCUAGAAAUUCUUAUUUUGGUUCCUUUCAGUCUAGUUAGGGUUUUAAAUAAAAGUUAGAAUUUUAAGUUGAUUUGAUUCUAUUAUCUGCUAGGGUUUAAUUGUUUUUGUUAUCGUUUGGUGGUUGUUUAUUGUGUCAAUAAUUUCUAUGUGGGUGUUUUUCCUUUUGUGUCAAAAAUGAUUUCAUUUAUUCUUAUUUUUGUUAUUUUCUUCCUCAAAAAAACCUUUCUUGCUUUUUGUUAGAUUGUUCCAUUACUUGUGGAGGUUGAAUAAUGGAUGAAUUACACUAACUGUCACUAUAGUUUGGAGCUUGUAUAGUUCCUAACUUUUCAAUUGUAACACAUUUGACUCUUAAUUUGGAAUCUUGUUUCAAAAAAGGACAAUUGAAAAUCUAU